rnacentral:rRNA from 1 species
AUUGAACGCUGGCGGCAGGCCUAACACAUGCAAGUCGAGCGGAUGAAGGGAGCUUGCUCCUGGAUUCAGCGGCGGACGAGUGAGUAAUGCCUAGGAAUCUGCCUGGUAGUGGGGGAUAACGUCCGGAAACGGGCGCUAAUACCGCAUACGUCCUGAGGGAGAAAGUGGGGGAUCUUCGGACCUCGCGCUAUCAGAUGAGCCUAGGUCGGAUUAGCUAGUUGGUGGGGUAAAGGCCUACCAAGGCGACGAUCCGUAACUGGUCUGGGAGGAUGAUCAGUCACACUGGAACUGAGACACGGUCCAGACUCCUACGGGAGGCAGCAGUGGGGAAUAUUGGACAAUGGGCGAAAGCCUGAUCCAGCCAUGCCGCGUGUGUGAAGAAGGUCUUCGGAUUGUAAAGCACUUUAAGUUGGGAGGAAGGGCAGUAAGUUAAUACCUUGCUGUUUUGACGUUACCAACAGAAUAAGCACCGGCUAACUUCGUG